rnacentral:rRNA from 1 species
UACGAAGGGUGCAAGCGUUGUUCGGAAUUACUGGGCGUAAAGGGCAUGCAGGCGGUCGGACGCGUUUCGGGUGACAGCGGGUGGCUUAACUACCCGAGUGGUCGAAAGACGGUUUGACUUGAGGACGCGAGAGGGACACGGAAUUCCGGGUGGAGUGGUGAAAUGCGUAGAGAUCCGGAGGAACACCGAAGGCGAAGGCAGUGUCCUGGCGAGUGACUGACGCUGAGGUGCGAAAGCCAGGGGAGCGAACGGG